rnacentral:rRNA from 1 species
UACGUAGGGGGCUAGCGUUGCUCGGAAUUACUGGGCGUAAAGGGCGCGUAGGCGGACAUUUAAGUCAGGGGUGAAAUCCCGGGGCUCAACCUCGGAAUUGCCUUUGAUACUGGGUGUCUUGAGUAUGAGAGAGGUGUGUGGAACUCCGAGUGUAGAGGUGAAAUUCGUAGAUAUUCGGAAGAACACCAGUGGCGAAGGCGACACACUGGCUCAUUACUGACGCUGAGGCUCGAAAGCGUGGGGAGCAAACAGG